UACGGGGGGGGGCAAGCGUUGUUCGGAAUUACUGGGCGUAAAGGGCUCGUAGGUGGCCAACUAAGUCGGACGUGAAAUCCCUCGGCUUAACCGGGGAACUGCGUCCGAUACUGGUUGGCUUGAGUUUGGGAGAGGGAUGCGGAAUUCCAGGUGUAGCGGUGAAAUGCGUAGAUAUCGAGAGGAACACCAGUGGCGAAGGCGAGUCCCUGGACAACUUCUGACACUGAGGCACGAAAGCUAGGGGAGCAAACAGG
rnacentral:rRNA from 1 species